GGGAAAUACCUUAGAAUAGAUCUGUGGCCAGUGGUCAAUCAUGAGACUUACCUUGUGUUUCAGAAGGAUGUUGUGCAGUGAGAGACCUGGAGGAUUUCAGCGUUCGCACUCUGUACGAUAAGUUGGAAGAUCAGAAUUUGCACCUGGCAUCUCAGCUGGCAAAGCACAGGAGGGAUGUGUUGGUGUUUUACAAUGGAAUCAGCCAGCAGAUUCAAGGUCUCAUGGUCAGUGUGAAGAAAGAACUGUGGGAAAGGGGGUCUUGAAACAGAAGCUUGCAAGUGGCAGUUUAGUGAAUGAUAGGUCUUGCUCCCUGCUGUACCCUGUUUUGGUGUAAAAUAGUUUACGCUGAUGUCUGGUUUGGUGUGAGAGGCAGAAAGUGAAAUGGAUGGAUUUUAAGAUUUUAAAGAAUAAUGCUGCUUUAUUAUAAAUAGGACAUGGUGCGAGCACUGGAUACUAAAGGCCUAAAAAUCCUUGGCAGGCAAAGGAUUUGUGAGCAUAAAUCUGGAAACAGCAGCCAGGCAGCAGUGGGCAUGGAACAGUGUGAGGAACACUGCAGCAGCAGCUUCCAUGCAGCUGGGCAGGCAGGUGCACUACAGCAAGAGGCAGUGGAGUUGAUGAAAGCUCUAGAAAUCCUGCUUGGGAGAGCUCAGCCUAAGAACAUGAAACGAGAGAUGGAGCAGCAGAUCCAUGGACAGGAUAUGGUGGCAGUUUUACCCUCACUGCACAGUGAAAGUAAAGCAAAAGUAGUGGAAGGGCAGGAUUAUAAGCUGCCUGAACAAGAAGAGCUCUUCAGUAGGAAAGGUGAUGUCUUCAGCUUCCCUGUGCAUGAAGAACGUGGUAAGUGUGCCAUGGUACUCCUCAAAGAUGAUGGUAGAAGACUGUCUCCUUGA
rnacentral:lncRNA from 1 species